AGCUUGCUCCCUGAUGUUAGCGGCGGACGGGUGAGUAACACGUGGGUAACCUGCCUGUAAGACUGGGAUAACUCCGGGAAACCGGGGCUAAUACCGGAUGGUUGUCUGAACCGCAUGGUUCAGACAUAAAAGGUGGCUUCGGCUACCACUUACAGAUGGACCCGCGGCGCAUUAGCUAGUUGGUGAGGUAACGGCUCACCAAGGCGACGAUGCGUAGCCGACCUGAGAGGGUGAUCGGCCACACUGGGACUGAGACACGGCCCAGACUCCUACGGGAGGCAGCAGUAGGGAAUCUUCCGCAAUGGACGAAAGUCUGACGGAGCAACGCCGCGUGAGUGAUGAAGGUUUUCGGAUCGUAAAGCUCUGUUGUUAGGGAAGAACAAGUGCCGUUCAAAUAGGGCGGCACCUUGACGGUACCUAACCAGAAAGCCACGGCUAACUACGGCCAGCAGCCGCGGAAACGAG
rnacentral:rRNA from 1 species